rnacentral:rRNA from 1 species
GAUGAACGCUGGCGGCGUGCCUAAUACAUGCAAGUCGAACGAAGAUCUAGCUUGCUAGAUCUUAGUGGCGAACGGGUGAGUAAUACAUAAAUAAUCUGCCCAUAUGACUGGGAUAACUAUUGGAAACGAUAGCUAAUACCGGAUAGGUUGAUCGGAGGCAUCUCUGAUGAAUUAAAGUAGGAUUUCGACACAAAUGGAUGAGUUUAUGGCGCAUUAGUUAGUUGGUGGGUAACGGCCUACCAAGACGAUGAUGCGUAGCCGACCUGAGAGGGUGACCGGCCACACUGGGACUGAGACACGGCCCAGACUCCUACGGGAGGCAGCAGUAGGGAAUUUUCGGCAAUGGGCGCAAGCCUGACCGAGCAACGCCGCGUGAGUGAUUAAGGCCUUCGGGUUGUAAAGCUCUGUUGUAAGGGAAGAACAUUCAGGAUAGGAAAUGAUCUUGAACUGACGGUACCUUACCAGAAAGCCACGGCUAACUACGUGCCAGCCGCCGCAGUAA